rnacentral:rRNA from 1 species
CCUACGGGAGGCAGCAGUGGGGAAUUUUGGACAAUGGGGGCAACCCUGAUCCAGCCAUUCCGCGUGAGUGAAGAAGGCCUUCGGGUUGUAAAGCUCUUUUGUUCGGGACGAAACGGUUUUGGUUAAUAACCAAGACUAAUGACGGUACCGGAAGAAUAAGCACCGGCUAACUACGUGCCAGCAGCCGCGGUAAGACGUAGGUGGCGAGCGUUAUCCGGAUUUACUGGGCGUAAAGCGUCUGUAGGUGGCCAAGUAAGUUGGGCGUGAAAUCUCCGGGCUUAACUCGGAGAGGCCGUCCAAUACUGCAUGGCUGGAGGAUAUUUGGGGAAAGCGGAAUUUCUGGUGUAGUAGUGAAAUGCGUAGAUAUCAGAAGGAACACCAGUGGCGAAGGCGGCUUUCUAAGAUAUUCCUGACACUGAGAGACGACAGCUAGGGGAGCAAACAGGAUUAGAAACCCUGGUAGUCCUAGCCGUAAACGAUGGAUGCUAGGUGUUGGAGGACUUAACCCCUCCUGUGCCGAAGCUAACGCGUUAAGCAUCCCGCCUGGGAAGUACGAUCGCAAGAUUAAAACUCAAAGGAAUUGACGG